rnacentral:tRNA from 1 species
AGAGAGGUAGCUCAGUGGUUAAGAGCACUGGCUGAUAUUCCAGAGGACCCAGGUUCAAUUCCCUGGUUGUCUG